rnacentral:rRNA from 1 species
UACGUAGGGUCCGAGCGUUGUCCGGAAUUAUUGGGCGUAAAGGGCUCGUAGGCGGUCUGUCGCGUCGGGAGUGAAAACUUACAGCUUAACUGUGAGCGUGCUUCCGAUACGGGCAGACUUGAGGUAUUCAGGGGAGAACGGAAUUCCUGGUGUAGCGGUGAAAUGCGCAGAUAUCAGGAGGAACACCAGUAGCGAAGGCGGUCUCGCUGG